UGCCCGCCCGGGUACUACGAGCAUUAGCUUAAAACCCAAAGGACUUGGCGGUGCUUUAGACCCCCCUAGAGGAGCCUGUUCUAGAACCGAUAACCCCCGUUAAACCUCACCCUCACUUGUUUUUUCAGCCUAUAUACCGCCGUCGUCAGUUCACCCCGUGAGGGCUUAAUAGUGGACAUAAUUAAUAUAAUUCAAAACGUCAGGUCGAGGUGUAGCAUAUGUGGGGGAAUUAAAUGGGCUACAUUUUCUGUCGACAGAACAUACGAAAAGUGUACUGAAAACUGCACUAGAAGGAGGAUUUAGCAGUAAGUGAAAAAUAUGAGAGUUUCGCUGAAGCCGGCUCUAAAGCGCGCACACACCGCC
rnacentral:rRNA from 1 species